rnacentral:lncRNA from 1 species
UAUUUCUCAUUUUUAGCCAUGGCAUAUUAAGAAUAACAUCAUAUUUUAGCUUUGUCAUCUUGAACCUCUUUCUUAAGAUGUAGGUGUCAGCCAACUUUAAGAUUUCUUCUUCACAUAUCUCACUCAAUACAUUCUCUUGAUCAUCUGUAAGGUAUAUACUUUAUCUUUUGAUUUUCUUAGUUUUAAUUCCAAUUUAGUUGACAAUUUCAAUUGAGAUACAAUUUUUCAUAGAGCCACAAUCUACAAGCACUUAACAUAGUUGUCUUGUUAGUAGUUUUGUUAGAUGCACUAGUCUAUUUUUUUUAUAAU